rnacentral:rRNA from 1 species
AUGAACGCUAGCGGCAGGCCUAAUACAUGCAAGUCGAGGGGCAGCGGGAGUAGCAAUACUUGCCGGCGACCGGCGCACGGGUGCGUAACGCGUAUGCAAUCUACCUAUCACUGGGGCAUAGCCCGGAGAAAUCCGGAUUAAUACCCCAUAAUAAAUUGAGUGGCAUCACUUGAUUUUGAAAGCUCCGGCGGUGAUAGAUGAGCAUGCGUAUGAUUAGCUAGUUGGUGAGGUAACGGCUCACCAAGGCAACGAUCAUUAGGGGUACUGAGAGGUUACACCCCCACACGGAUACUGAGACACGGAUCCGACUCCUACGGGAGGCAGCAGUAAGGAAUAUUGGUCAAUGGAGGCAACUCUGAACCAGCCAUGCCGCGUGCAGGAAGAGGGCGCUACGCGUUGUAAACUGCUUUUGUACGGGAGAAAACCCUUGUUCGUGAACAAGGUUGAUAGUACCGUAAGAAUAAGCAUCGGCUAACUUCGU